rnacentral:rRNA from 1 species
UUACCAAACUGUUGCCUCGGCGGGGUCACGCCCCGGGUGCGUCGCAGCCCCGGAACCAGGCGCCCGCCGGAGGAACCAACCAAACUCUUUCUGUAGUCCCCUCGCGGACGUAUUUCUUACAGCUCUGAGCAAAAAUUCAAAAUGAAUCAAAACUUUCAACAACGGAUCUCUUGGUUCUGGCAUCGAUGAAGAACGCAGCGAAAUGCGAUAAGUAAUGUGAAUUGCAGAAUUCAGUGAAUCAUCGAAUCUUUGAACGCACAUUGCGCCCGCCAGUAUUCUGGCGGGCAUGCCUGUCCGAGCGUCAUUUCAACCCUCGAACCCCUCCGGGGGAUCGGCGUUGGGGAUCGGGACCCCUCACACGGGUGCCGGCCCCUAAAUACAGUGGCGGUCUCGCCGCAGCCUCUCCUGCGCAGUAGUUUGCACAACUCGCACCGGGAGCGCGGCGCGUCCACGUCCGUAAAACACCCAACUUUCUGAAAUGUUGACCUCGGAUCAGGUAGGAAUACCCGCUGAACUUAAGCAUAUCAAUAAGCGGAGGAA